UGUUUCCAGUCACCUAUGCAGAGUUUAAUGCUUCCGUUUUCAAGAUCUCAAAACUAAAGGGGGAGUGUUGAUAAGAAUACCAGCCCGCCACACAUGCAGAUGAAAAUGUAACACGAGAACCUUGAAUUGCCAUCCAUGUAUGCAGCCAUCACCGGCAGGCAGGCUUCCAUCUCUGCAUUGUGACUCAUUCCCAGGCAAAGUGGAAAGAAGUAAUAGUGUUUCCUUGGCAGCAUUUGUACUUCUUAGGUUUGUUUAAUUUGACAGAUCAUCCAACCCUCAGGAUAACAUCAUGGCUAUCCAAUAAAAGAAGUACAAUGCUGUGUGAAUUGCUUGUCUGGCAUAUAGGUAUCUUGGUUGGGAUGGCCAAUA